rnacentral:rRNA from 1 species
GGCUACCAUGCAGUCGAGCGCAGUCCUUCGGGACCGAGCGGCGGACGGGUUAGUAACGCGUGGGAACAUACCCUUUUCUACGGAAUAGCCUCGGGAAACUGAGAGUAAUACCGUAUAAGCCCUUCGGGGGAAAGAUUUAUCGGGAAAGGAUUGGCCCGCGUUAGAUUAGAUAGUUGGUGGGGUAAUGGCCUACCAAGUCUACGAUCUAUAGCUGGUUUUAGAGGAUGAUCAGCAACACUGGGACUGAGACACGGCCCAGACUCCUACGGGAGGCAGCAGUGGGGAAUCUUAGACAAUGGGCGCAAGCCUGAUCUAGCCAUGCCGCGUGUGUGAUGAAGGUCUUAGGAUCGUAAAGCACUUUCGCCAGGGAUGAUAAUGACAGUACCUGGUAAAGAAACCCCGGCUAACUCCGUGCCAGCAGCCGCGGUAAUACGGAGGGGGUUAGCGUUGUUCGGAAUUACUGGGCGUAAAGCGUACGUAGGCGGAUCAGAAAGUAGGGGGUGAAAUCCCAGGGCUCAACCCUGGAACUGCCUCCUAAACUCCUGGUCUUGAGUUCGAGAGAGGUGAGUGGAAUUCCAAGUGUAGAGGUGAAAUUCGUAGAUAUUUGGAGGAACACCAGUGGCGAAGGCGGCUCACUGGCUCGAUACUGACGCUGAGGUACGAAAGUGUGGGGAGCAAACAGGAUUAGAUACCCUGGUAGUCCACACCGUAAACGAUGAA